rnacentral:rRNA from 1 species
UACGUAGGCUGCAAGCGUUGUUCGGAGUUACUGGGCGUAAAGGGCGUGUAGGCGGCUCCUUAAGUUUGCUGUGAAAUCUCCCGGCUUAACCGGGAGGGUGCGGUGAAUACUGGGGGACUAGAGUACGGGAGAGGAAAGUGGAAUUCCUGGUGUAGCGGUGAAAUGCGUAGAUAUCAGGAGGAACACCGGUGGUGUAGACGGCUUUCCGGACCGUAACUGACGCUGAGACACGAAAGCGUGGGUAGCAAACAGG